AGGUUCUGUUUUCUAGGGAAAGAAAAAACAAUGCUCAGUUGUUAGAUAGUCGGUGGGCUCUGGUUACUAAGGAAAUCAAGAGCAAUGGUGACUUCAAAGGCCUUCGGGGUGAGCUAGCCGAGCUGCAGGAUGGGAUGCAAUUGAUGGAGCUGCUCAACCAGAAUCUCCUCACCGAGAAAAAAGCAAUGAACACCGAGUUGGUUGGAGUGCAGGAGGAGCUGGGAGAAGCAAGGAAGCAGCUAAUGCAGCUAGAUGAUAGCAUGGAAUCAAUGAAAUCGUUGAGUAAGGUUCUAUUUUAUAGGGAAAGAAAAAGCAAGGCUCGGUUGCUACAUACUCGGUGGGCUCUGGUUACCAAGGAAAUCAAGAGCAACGGUGACUUAAAAGGCCAUCAGGAAGAGCUAGCCGAGCUGCGGGGUGGGAUGCAAGAAUUGAGAUUCCUCAACCAGGCUCUGUGUUCUAGGGAAAGAGAAAGCAAUGGUCAGUUGUUAGAUACUCGGUGGGCUAUGGUUACCAAGGAAAUCAAGAGCAACGGUGACUUAUGAAACCUCCGGGAAGAGCUGGCCGAGCUGCGGGAUGGGAUGCAAGGACUAGAAUCCCUCAACCAGGUCCUGGUUACUAAGAGCGUAAGAGACAACGACAAACUGCAAGCGGCUCGGAAAGAGUUGAUCGAUGGCUUGAAUGUGGCUACAAAUGGCAGGGCAAACAUAGGCCUGAAGAGGAUGGGGGAGCUUGAUCCAAAAGCGGUUGCAAAUGCUUGCAGACCGAGAUUGUCACAAAAGAAAACUCUUAUUCUUUGUUCCAAGUGGGAGACUAAAAUCAGAAACGCGGGUUGGCACCCUUUUAAGGUCAUCAUGGUUGACGAUCAGCCCAUGGUACGGAUAGCCUUCUAUAUUGCUAUACAUGGAGUAGCUCUUUUAUCUUGUAAGUAGUCUUCAGUAUCUGGUUUGCAAAGGUCCAUCUUACUGUGUGCAAGUGUAACUACUGUCUUGUAGGAAAUUUUCUUGGACGAUGAUGACAAGCUUGUGGAGCUAAAACAAGAACACGGUGACCAAAUGUUCGCCUUGGUGAAACAGGCGCUGAUUGAAAGGAACAAGUACAACCCCAGUGGUGGCUAUCCUGAAACGUUGCUGUGGAACUUCAAGCACAGUCGGGAGGCAACAAUGGAAGAAGCCGUCCAAUUCAUUGUAAAAAAGUGUUGUGCAAAGAAGAGAAAGCAUUGAGCCCAUAUAUCUAGGAGCUGGGGGUUUGCCGUCUUUCUUUGGAAAACCCAUGGAUAUGCACUGUGAAGUAGCGGGUUGCAGAUUUGCAUGACAGCAAUGUGCUACUCUUUCAUUGACAUAUAUGGUACUUUGAGCAAGUGUACAAACCCUUUAAAUAUGUGCAAUAAGGCUAUUGCAGGACUGUUGGAAGUCAAUUGAAGUUGACCUUAACUACAGCAAAGCAUAUAACCGACUCGGAUAUGUUUAUUUCAUCAUAAGGAAUUUUAGUGAUAUGCUGUUACAGGAUGCUAUUCAGAUACUACAUAAACUUCUGAGGUAGUAAAUGGUAGUGCAUUGGGGUGGCGCUGUUUUAAAUUUGAAGUCGCGCAAGCUCAUUUUUACUUCAGUAUGGUUCUGAAUAUUUAUAUAAGCACCUUUAUUUUUUGGCAACAGCUCAAAUGCAAGCACAAACUCAUUGUACCUGUUGUUAACUGGAAAUCUGGAAUGCGAUUUUACUUCAUUCUUAGUUCGAAUUCAGCCAAGAAGUUUUUUUUUAAGGUAUAAAACAGUGGGGGGACCUGAAACUGAUAUUUGUGCCAUUUUGAAUAGUAGUAGGAAUUUGUGCGUCUGAUUUGCUUGCAACUGCUGGAUGGAAAAGAAACCAUCAUUAGUUCAUCUAUAUGAUAUAUUCAUGGGAAACCAGUUUAUGCAGUGGGCAUGCAGGAAGACCAGUGCGAAUUGCCUGACAUGUUUGUAUUGAGUGUGCAGGUGUUGCGCUGCCGUUCAUUGUUGAACUGGCCGAUGGUCGCUCCUCCGUCUUCAACUGCUGCUUACUCGGGUGGAAAGAUUGUACAUCACAGAUUUUGGUCCAAUUCAGGCUUGCUUUUCUUGCUCAUGUUCAAACAGAAGGCAGAGAAGCUCUUGAGUAGCUUACAAGGUACUCCCUCCAUUCCUAAAUAUAAGUCUUUGUAGAGAUUCCACUAUGAACUACAUACGGAUGUAUAUAGAUGCAUUUUAAGUGUGGAUUCAUUCAUUUUGCUCCGUAUGUAGUCCACCCAGUGAAAUCUCUACAAAGACUUACAUUUUGGAACGGAGGGAGUAUAAGAGUGUUUAGAUCUCGCAUGUGUGGUUCUAACACGAGAAAUUAUCUUUCUUCUUCUUUCUUCUUUUUGUUUGCGAAAGAGAAACUAUCUUUCUAUAGAUCAUAGGGUGUGGAUGAAGGUCUACAGUGGUAGACUCUGGUUUUGCAGGAGAUUGUACGCCUGGAGUGGAGUCUUGGAGGCCAUGGUAUGGCACUGUGAGCUUUUAUGUGCAAGUGCAAAAGAUAUGGUAGAUGGCCUGUACCGACUAGGCAUUUUCCUUUGAGGAAAAAGAUGGUCAUGCAUAAUGUGAGACACCGUUGUGAAUAAUUGUACAUGAAGGAAUCUAGAAUUUGC